CCUACGGGAGACAGCAGUGGGGAAUAUUGGGCAAUGGGCGCAAGCCUGACCCAGCAACGCCGCGUGAAGGAAGAAGGCUUUCGGGUUGUAAACUUCUUUUCUCAGGGACGAAGCAAGUGACGGUACCUGAGGACUAAGCCACGGCUAACUACGUGCCAGCAGCCGCGGUAAUACGUAGGUGGCAAGCGUUAUCCGGAUUUACUGGGUGUAAAGGGCGUGUAGGCGGGAAAGCAAGUCAGAUGUGAAAACCAUGGGCUCAACCUGUGGCCUGCAUUUGAAACUGUUUUUCUUGAGUACUGGAGAGGCAGACGGAAUUCCUAGUGUAGCGGUGAAAUGCGUAGAUAUUAGGAGGAACACCAGUGGCGAAGGCGGUCUGCUGGACAGCAACUGACGCUGAGGCGCGAAAGCGUGGGGAGCAAACAGGAUUAGAUACCCUUGUAGUC
rnacentral:rRNA from 1 species